CUGGACGUUCGUGCGGAGGGACACAAAGGUAACACAGGGACGCCCGGGGUGGGCCAAUCCAGGCCAGGCCACCACUGUGGUCCCACUUGGACAGCCCUACGUCCCCUCCCUGGGGGUGUGUGUGUGUGUGUGUGUGUGUGUGUGUUAGUGUGUGUGUGCAUGUGUGUGUGUGUGUGUGGAAGGGUGGUUUGUGUGAGUGGACCACCGCGAGGAGGAGCAGGCUGAUGAGGGGUUAGAAGCCUGGUGGGCCGGGCCCAUUCCCACCCCAGUUCAUGGCUGAUCGGGUGGGACGUGGAGUGCCGGGAAGCACCGUCUGCCCGAGGUUUCUCCCGAGCCCCUGAGGUCUAUCUGUUUCAUCCCGGGGAGAAUUCUGCACAGACACAGGGUGGUGCCUGAUGUGGGAGCAUUAGGGGCAGAGGGCAGAAGAAAGAGCAGGGGCAGCUGAGCAGGGCUCUGAUGCUUCUGGGCUGACUGUUGGUCACUGUCUUUGCAGAGGUCCACUCGGGACACGGAGUCCAGCUCCCCGAGGGAGGAGAAGCUGGGCAGGAACAGCGUAGUGGCAGGCGUGGGGAAAAGGCUGCCGUCCUCAGGGACUGUUGGACAAGGAUCAGAGCCAGCACAGGCCCCAGCCCGUGUGCGGGGAGCACAAUCACCUCCAGCAGCUCCUGCACAAGGGCAGGAGACAAGCGACGCCCCAGGACGGGAGCAGGGAGAGCCAGCCCCUCCUCAGGCUCAGGCAGGAGGCAUGCAGCUGGCUCUCAUGGAACCAGCUGAGCAUGGAGAGCCAUCCCCUGCUCAGGCUCCUGCCAGUGCCCUGGGGCAGGCUGAAGUGGUCGCCAGGGAGCAGGGAGAGCCAUCGCCUGCUCCGGCUCCUGCCAGUGCUCUGGGGCAGGCUGAAGUUGUCGCCAGGGAGCAGGGAGAGCCAUCCCCUGCUCUGGCUCCUGCCAGUGCCCCGGGGCAGGCUGAAGUGGUCGCCAGGGAGCAGGGAGAGCCAGCCCCUGCUCCAGAGCCUCCUGGAGCCCUGGAGCCCUCUCAGGCCCCAGCAUUGUCCCCGGGAGAGCUCACUCUCCAACCCCCAUCAUCCCCAGCUCCUGAGCCAUCCCUUCCACCUGCUCCCUCACCAGGACCUCCCUUCCUCUCCCUGCUUCCCCUGUAUGUCUGUGUAGCCGUUUAUGUUGCUCGUUUUCUUGUCUUUUUUUGGUGUUUAUGUAAAUUGUAAAAUAAAUUUCUUUAUAUUUUAAGAACUCUGCAUUUUCUCCUUUUCAAGUGUACAAUUCCCGAGCGUUAAGUACAGUCCCAAUGCUCGGCCUCCAUCACCACUGUCCGCUUGCUGAACAUUCCCUUCACCACAAGGGAAGCCUUUUCCCAAAGCGCUCAUGCCUCAUUCCUCCUUCGCUCCCUGACAACGCCUAUUCUGUGUUCUGGCAGGUUUUUGUCAGUCUUUUCUGGAUGGCUCCUAUCAGUGGAAUCAUGCAAUAUUUUCAGAAGCACUGAUCGAAAGCAGCCGUGUCAGGAGCCUCUUGUGGUCCACAGGCGUGCUGGGGGCGGGGACCCCCACGUGUGCUGCCGGCAGGGCUGCUCUGUGUGCCUGGCCGGGGACAGGAGGCCCGGCUGCCCCGAGGGAGAGAGGACUGGGAGCCCCGCCACACCCAGGGGGGCAGGAGGCCAGGGCUGUGUCCAUGCCGAGCAGGGCUGAUGCAGUUCCUGCGCAACCCUCACGGGACAGUUGGGAAGCUGAGGCCAGGGGAAACAGGGACCGGCCCUGGGCCCACGAGGUGGGCAGAGUCCAGAGGAGAAGCGAGGCUUCCAGGCCCCUGGGCCAGCUCUAGUGUCCCAGGAGAUUGGCCUUGGGAAGGAGAGCCCCUAAGAUCCUGGGGGACCUCUGUCCACGCCCUCCCAUUGGGGGCCCUUUCCUUUGGGCAUCCGCACCUGGG
rnacentral:lncRNA from 1 species